UUUUUUUUUUAAGUUAGAUUUUAUCAAGAGAUUUGUCCUUUCCUAUGCAAUUGUGUUCAUAUAUUAUAAUUCGGCCUAUAAUAUAAAAUCCAUUCUCUAACUUGUAAUUUAAAAAUAUUAAAUCUACUUAAAUAUAUUGUUUCCCUUUAAGAUAAAAGAUUCCCGUUUCUUUUAAGGAAUUUAUUUGAGAGUAGGGUUGGAUUUGAAAGACCACACACCUUGGGUCUAUGGUAGUCUUCAUGGAUUGGUAACCAUAAGGGUCUGCUCGUAGUCCUCCGGUUCUCAAAGCAAGAUAAUGGCAUCGCUGCUGCGAGUGAAAAGAGCAUGACAGAGGCUAAAGACGCCCAGGUGAAGGCCGAGCUGGAGGUUGACUCAUUGAAAAAGGCCUUGAAGGAUGCCAAGGGCGAAAUCGCCUUGUUGACUUAGAAGGUAGACCAAUUCGAAGAGGAAAAGAAGACAUCUUUCGACCUCAUGAAACAAGAGAGGGUUCAGUUUCAGGAAGAGCUUAAGGCCGUCGAAUACUCUGAGCUAGCUUGCUACCAGAUUUAGACCUUCAACCUCGACACAGACUUCUCUUUCUUAGGCGAAGCUUGGGAUGCCUUUAUUGAGAAGUUCAAGUUUCAACUCGUUGUGGAAGAGGUCGCCCAGACUACACCUGUCGAGGGGAACCCUGAUGAUGAGUUCGGGGAUGAGGUCACGACGGAGGCUGGAGGCACAUCCAAGGGUUGAGGACUUCUUUAACCUGUAUGUUUAUUCUUCUUUAUUUUAAGGUCCUUGGGCCAUUUUGUAAUUAAGGGGUUUGGGGCUGAGAUAAUAUUAUACUCGAGUGUUCUUGAGUAUUCAUUUUUUGGAAGGAUAUGAUGCCUUCCAAGCUAAGACAGUUAUAUGCUCUAUUUUGUUAAGCAUUUACUUAUCUUUUCCCUUAUAUCACUGCUUUUGACAAUA